rnacentral:rRNA from 1 species
GAGUUUGAUCAUGGCUCAGGAUGAACGCUAGCGGGAGGCUUAAUACAUGCAAGUCGAGGGGCAGCAUGGGACUUCGGUCCUGAUGGCGACCGGCGCACGGGUGAGUAACGCGUACGCAACUUGCCUCCAAGCGGGGGAUAGCCCCGGGAAACUGGGAUUAAUACCCCAUAGCAUCAUUUUAUCGCCUGGUAGAAUGAUUAAAGCUUAGGCGCUUGGAGAUGGGCGUGCGUGCCAUUAGCUAGUUGGUAAGGUAACGGCUUACCAAGGCGACGAUGGCUAGGGGGCGUGAGAGCGUGGCCCCCCACACGGGUACUGAGACACGGACCCGACUCCUACGGGAGGCAGCAGUAAGGAAUAUUGGACAAUGGAGGCAACUCUGAUCCAGCCAUCCCGCGUGCAGGAUGACGGCCCUAUGGGUUGUAAACUGCUUUUGCGAGGGAAGAAACGGUGCUAUUUAUAGCAUUUUGACGGUACCUCGAGAAUAAGCACCGGCUAACUCCGUGCCAGCAGCCGCGGUAAUACGGAGGGUGCAAGCGUUAUCCGGAAUCACUGGGUUUAAAGGGUGCGUAGGCGGCAUUAUAAGUCAGAGGUGAAAGCCCGUCGCUUAACGAUGGAACUGCCUUUGAUACUGUAGUGCUUGAAUCAAGUUGAGGCUGGCGGAAUGUGGCAUGUAGCGGUGAA